UACGAAGGGGGCUAGCGUUGUUCGGAAUCACUGGGCGUAAAGCGCACGUAGGCGGAUGUGCCAGUCAGGGGUGAAAUCCCGGAGCUCAACUCCGGAACUGCCUCUGAUACAGCACGUCUUAGUUCGAGAGAGGUGGGUGGAAUUCCUAGUGUAGAGGUGAAAUUCGUAGAUAUUAGGAAGAACACCGGUGGCGAAGGCGGCCCACUGGCUCGAUACUGACGCUGAGGUGCGAAAGCGUGGGGAGCAAACAGG
rnacentral:rRNA from 1 species